GAUGAACGCUGGCGGCGUGCCUAAUACAUGCAAGUCGAGCGAACGGACGAGGAGCUUGCUCCUCUGACGUUAGCGGCGGACGGGUGAGUAACACGUGGAUAACCUACCUAUAAGACUGGGAUAACUUCGGGAAACCGGAGCUAAUACCGGAUAAUAUAUUGAACCGCAUGGUUCAAUAGUGAAAGACGGUUUUGCUGUCACUUAUAGAUGGAUCCGCGCCGCAUUAGCUAGUUGGUAAGGUAACGGCUUACCAAGGCAACGAUGCAUAGCCGACCUGAGAGGGUGAUCGGCCACACUGGAACUGAGACACGGUCCAGACUCCUACGGGAGGCAGCAGUAGGGAAUCUUCCGCAAAGGGCGAAAGCCUGACGGAGCAACGCCGCGUGAGUGAUGAAGGUCUUCGGAUCGUAAAACUCUGUUAUUAGGGAAGAACAAAUGUGUAAGUAACUAUGCACGUCUUGACGGUACCUAAUCAGAAAGCCACGGCUAACUACGUG
rnacentral:rRNA from 1 species